GUUUUAAGGUAUGGAUUCUUCCAAAUUUCUCUGACUUGCUGAGCCAUGUGCUGAAAUUUGUAUUCAUGAAAAUGUUCCAAGUGCUGUCAUUAUUUUCUUCUAACAGUUUAUGGCUUGCUAAAGCAGAUAUGGUCUUUAACUUUUUAGGUUCAUAGUUUUAUCUUUUCCAAAUGCUAAGCCUUCUCUUUUAUCUGGUUUUGGAUCAGUUGUGGCGAUCAAGGACAAAUUGAAUAUUGUAAAAUAAGCCAUUUUUCUUGUAUUGAGGACCGCCCUAUAAUGGCUCUUGUGGGAAGAGGGACUUGCAUUUGGCAUAUAAAGUGGAUGGAGACAUGUAUAGACUAUAGAGGGAAAGCUUCCUGGUUAGGAGUAAGGACUAAUAGUGCUGACAAAAGAAUUCACUAAUAUCUGCUCUGAAUAUCUUAUUGCUUUAGUAAUGGAUGAACAGUGUAUGUUUGAGAAUCAUAUCUUAUAGUACAUGUGGUAUCCUGAUUUCAUAAUUAUAGUACUUUAAACCAAAGUGGGGGUAAAUUGAGCGAUUUUAUGGAGAUUUAUAUUUUUAGUUUAAGCAAGAAUAAAAUGAAACUAAUUUAAUGC
rnacentral:misc_RNA from 1 species